rnacentral:rRNA from 1 species
CCCUUAGAUGUUCUGGGCCGCACGCGUGCUACACUGAGUGGAUCAGCGGGUCAGGUUGCGCGAAAGCGUUUCCUAAUCUUUAAAUCCGCUCGUGAUGGGGAUUGACGGUUGCAAUUUUCUGUCAUGAACGAGGAAUACCUUGUAAGCGCGGGUCAUCAUCCCGCGCUGAAUACGUCCCUGCCCUUUGUACACACCGCCCGUCGCCCCUACCGAUUGAGUGGUCCGGUGAGGCUUUGGGAUCUGAGCGGAAAGAGCGUUUCGCUGUUUCUGCCCGGAAAACUCAGUCGAACCUUAUCAUUUAGAGGAAGGAGAAGUCGUAACA